CAUCCUAGUUGAGAGAAAAUCAGAAGCCACUUCUAUGUGCCAAAACCAGCAAAGAUAGGACCAAAAGCAUGAUUUUAUAAUUCUAUUUUACUUUGUGUUUUACAGUUCUGUGUCAAUCCAUGAAGGUCUACUGAUUAUAUGAAUAAUUUUAUGGUCCCCAGUGAUAGUGUGCGAAAAUAUAGUUUCAUGUAAUUGCCUGGCAUCCAUUAGGAACAUUCAUUUCCUUCAAAAUUUUUAAUUGACUGGCUGUUAGUUGCUCUCCUCACACCAAGGUCCCAGGUAUAAUCACUGGUGGUUGUUCUCUCAUUCAUCAAUAAUGCUCAUUGUGUUGCCGUGAAUUCAUCCAUGAAUAUUUUCUGAAAAACUUUAUUAAAUUUCUCUUAUUGCAUUGGGAAGAACAGCCCCAAGAACAGAUCUUUUGCCUGAAGUGCAGUAAUUAAUUUUGCUCUUCUUGCUGAAUAAGUCUGGUUCUUGCUUUAUAAAUUCCCUAUAUUACCUUAGCUUUAACCAUUUUCUGAGAUGAUAUUUACAGAAGCAAGGACAACAUUUGGAGGUCUCCAUGUACUUCCAAUAUACCCUUUGUAAGAAUGAUGGUAUGGAUGAUCAUCUCUAACUCUUAGAGAGAAACCAGUUUCUGUUUAAUAAGAUGUAUUUAAAAAAUACCUAUCAAUGAGAGUGGAAGUGGAAAAUAAAAUUAUUUUUCAACAAAGCUGUAUGCCCAUUAUGACAUAGUGUCAAGGAAAAGAACAAAUUCAGGGGACUGUCAGUAAGAUAUUGCCUCAGGGUAAAGUCUGUGGUUUAAGUUCCUUGGCUAAGACUUUUGAAGUGAUUAGGAUACCUAUAAGAUCCUUUUACAUAGACAAAAUAAUUCCUACAAGGAUUGAGGUCUUGGUUCAGAAGAAGCUAGAAACUUCUAAAGUAUCUGUAAUUGAGUCUCUAGAGAGAAUCAUAUCUCAAAAAGAAAUAUGGGCGUCACAUAUUUUGGUGCAAUGAUGUUUGAAACUUACAACAUUUUUAAAAGAGCCAUAUUGGAAAAAGCAUUGCCAGCCUGAACUAAAAGACUAAAAUCAUUUGAGAUAUAAAAAGGUCUUGCAAAUUCCAUCUUUCCUAAGGCAGCAAUCAGUCUGGGGAAAGCACUGAUUUUUCUAAUGCAAGUUAUUACUUUUAUCCCAUUCCUGUUCAACCCCUAUACAUUGGAUGUGUGCUGGGUAGAUAACCUGUCAUUUUAUUAAUAGGUCUCUGGAUGAAGAAAAGCCACAUUUUGACCUGACAUGGAUCACAAGGUCCUAGACUUUGAAUUUGAUGCUGUGACUAGGUGAGACUUUUGAAGGUCUUGGGAUGUGGAUUAGUGUAUCUUGCAUAUGGGAAGGUCAUGAAUUAACAUAAACAAGAGAGUUGGCAAUAAUAGUCGGUGUGAUUGCUCAGCAAACAAAACUCCUAUCUCCCUCGCACUGCCUGAUUGAUACUAUGCUUGACCAUGUGUUUUGCAUUGGCCAGUGGGAUGUUAGUGGUAAUUGCAGAAGUAAAUGCUUGGUGUGUGUGGUGUUUCUGUCAUUGCCAUGAGAAGAUUGCCAUGAGAAGAACAUGUCCUGGGAAGCCUGCUGGUCCCUGGAGUGGGGAGUUUAUGCGGAUCAGAGCUUGCUCAGCCUCUCUGCACACCCACAGCUUCAAGUUGUCACCCUUCAAGUUGUCACCCUUCAAGUUGUCUGUCAACUCCAAACUUAUGAAUAUGAGAAUCAAAAACUGCUUCACUGAACCUGAAGGAUAUGUGUUACAUCAGUAGCUAACUGAUACAAUGCUAUAUCCUAAGCACUAAACUAAGCACUUCAUUAUUUAUCAGCCUUGUGAGAUACAUUAGCUUCACUUUGCAGAAAAUUGGAAUUUAGAGAAGUUCAGUAAUAUAAUCAUAGCUAUAAAUAUAUUAUAGUAAUAUAGUAUAGCUAUAUUACUAUAGUAAAAUAACUAUAGCAAUAUAAUAUAACUGAUAGCCAGGCCAGAUUAUUAAUCUUUUCUCUUUAACCUUAGCAAUACUUUUCAAUGUUUUGGAAAAUUCAGGUUUGAUCCUUUUCUCCCACUUCCCCUGACCCUGCUUAUAAAGAGUCUCUGCUUUUGGAGAGAUAUACUCAGUAGGUAGGACAAGAAAGUUUUCUUUAUGUCCACUGCUGUUUUUGACCUGAGUAGAGAUGACACUUCUCAGGGCUGGCUGAGGUCCCAAUUGCAAUGCUGGCAAAAGUUGAUUUGAAACCUUGCAGUCACCUCAUUUGAUGUUGCAAUUUCUUUUUCUAGGGAAGUGUACUACCCCUACCUUUCAAGGAUUUUUUUUUUUUAAACUUCUGAGUCCUUUUCUUAAAAAAAAACAACAAGAAAACCCCACUGGAAUAUUUAUUUGGUGAGACAUCAACACUGUGUGCUCCUGACCCUAGUUACUUGCAUUUUAAUCUUCUUAUCUCUAAAUGAAGAUUAUGAUGGCUGGAGAGAAGCUCUUUGGUCCUAGAACACUGUCAUCAGUCAGUCUAGCUCUGAAGGGCAGGAAGAAAAGAGAAGGAAAGAAAGCAGAUUAAAGGAAAGAAAGAACAAAAAUGCCAAUUUGUGCUCACUUGAAGUGCUAGACACCUUACAUGUAUGCUGGUGUAGCUUGUAGCCCUAUUGAAGACAUGCUAUGAGGCAUCAUGUAGCCCUUUCAUCUUCUUUUGGGUUCCUGGAUCCAGUUCCAACAUGUAUGUGUGUGUGUGGAGGGUUUUCCACAUAAGCAAACAAUUCUAGAACACCAGCAGGGUGUCUGAGAAUUUAACUCAAAUCUGAGACUACCUGUGGGUGAAGACCAAAUAUAUAUUUCUUAUUAUAAAUCACAACAUCACAAUUUACCCUCAAAAGUCGAAACUUGGUUUAAAUGGUCAAAGGAUUUUCUCUCUUGUAACCCUUCUCACUGGGAGAAAAUGACCUAUAAUUCUUAGGAGAAAAAGUCCUUUUAAUUCCUUUUAGAGUAAACUAUGCCUUAUCCUGAGUGGAUUUCACUUUAAAAUUUCUAGUUUUUUUCUCCAGUAAGGAAACUGAUAAAAAUCCUUAGUAAAGGAAAAAUUUCCCUAAACCUCAUUUUGGACAGAAUCUUUUUAUUCAUUAUAAUUCAUAACUUCCUCUGGGAGGAUAUUAGCAUGGCUAAUAAAACACUAAGCAAUUUUCUGAUAAACUUUAUGGGAAUUAAUGGGGCUAAAAUUUGUUCUUAGAAAAUCUUUCACCAGUUCUUUCAAUUGUCUACUGAUCUUUUGCUCUUUUCUUUCUGUAUUUGAUCUAAGAGGUUAUUUGAUACUUUUGUUUCUAAAAAUGUCAGCACUAAGACUACAUCUUUAAAUUAGCCUGCUGAUUAUACUGGCCUCCCAACAGCAAGAUUGUAACCAAACGUUUGCCUAUAUAUGUAAACAGCAAGAUUAUGACCAAACACAUAACUGCAACUAAAUUUCCAAUAUCAAAAAAUUUUUUUUAACAUUUGUCUAGGCCAGUUCUUCCUCUCAUUGUGCUGCUUGAAGCUGCUUAUCCUCUUUGUGAUUCACCCUGUUCUUUUCACAGGCCAGUAUCUUGGUGGGGGUAGGGGCCGAAUUCAGCCUUGGUAGACCUCACAUUAAAUAAUAAAGUUAAAUUUGCAGGCAAUUUGCAAAAUGCCUGGCAUUAAUUUGCUACUCCAUCAAUGUUGAUAGUUAUUUACUCUGCCUUUCCUUCCUUCCUUUUUCAUUCCCUCUGCUUGGAGCAACUAUAACUGACAAUUGGCUUUAGGGCAAGAAGAUUUCUCCCUAAACAUCAGUCUCUUAUCCUCAUUAUCUGCUUAUAAGUUUUUCACAAUUUCUACUCCAAGCAUUGCCCUUAGGCUUUUAACAGAGGUCCGUCCUUUCAAUAUACUCCAUUAAUCACAGAAUGAUUUACUUUCAGUGUGGCUGACCAUGCAGGUUAUUCUUUAUUGAAAUUGAAGGUGUUUGUUCCUAUUCAAUGGGUGAGUAUUGCAUCUGUGUGGGGAUGAUACAGGUGUGGUUGUUUUGUUCUAAUCCCUUCAACUCAAAGAACAACUUCAUGUCUGAGGUCAAGCUGAGCAUAGAGCCCUCCCCACUGGGCAGAGAUGUGGCUACCAGGGCACUUUCUGUCCAGCAUCAUUAAAGCCUACCCCUGAGAGUGGAAGCCCAGGGUUGUCCUUUUCCCAUUUCAUGCUCCCUAUCGUGUGUGCAAGCUAAAAAUCAUACCUAACCACAGCAGGAAAUCUGAAACAUGAGGGCAAGUGUGUUUAUUUUAUAGAGGGGAAGGCAGAAUCUCGAAAAGAUUAGGUCAGUUUUCCCAAGGUCAUAUAGCUAGUGAGUGGAGGAGGGGGAUUCCCAUGCUGGCUGACUGUGGAGCCCAUGUGCUUUCAGUACACAUUUCCAUUCCUGCAGUGCCAGACAUGUUGCCUCAGACUUUGCUAUAAAGUACGCACUGCAGACCAGCAUUACUGGCAUCUCCUGGGAACUUGUUAGCAACACAGAAUCUCAGGUGCCACCCAACAAUAGUGACUCAACAUCUUCAUUUUUAUCGAGAUCCCCAGGUGAUUUGUAUACACGUGAAAGUUUGAGAAGCACAGACAUGACAUAAUAUGCAGCUGCUAAAUAAAGACAUGGAGAGUAUGAAAGUAAUUUUUAAAAUAUGUAGGAUAGGUCAAGAGGUUCUGAAAUCAGUCACUUGGGGCACCUAGAAAAGACUGAGAGAAUGCAUGGGAGGCAAUGCGUGAAGAGUGAAAGAGAAGAACUUUUUGCAUUAAAUGUCAGACUGAAUGGGCCCUUUGAGGAUGAAAUAGGAUAAAGGGAAAGACAACAUCAACCCACACCUAGAUAAAUGAAAGACACUUUUAGGAUAAAAUUAGGGGGAAAAAACUGUUAAAACUUUCAGAAAGAAGAAACAGAUUAACUAGGGAAUGAGAAGCAGAGAUAAAAGUUUUAAGAAGAAAACAGUACUAUAAAAAUUCUGAGGUAAAAUAUAUUUGAACCUAGCAUUUCAUACCAGUGAAUCUAUCAAAGACCAGAGCAAAAUAGGAGUUCUUGCUGUGGCGUAACAGGAUUGGUGGCAUCUUGGAAGCCCUGGGAUGCAGGUUCAAUCCCUGCCCGGCACAGUGGGUUAAGGAUCCAGUGUUGCCAAAGCUGAGGCUUAGGUCAAGACUGUGGCUUGAAUCUGAUCCUUGGCCUGGGAACUCCAUAUGCUUCUGGGUG
rnacentral:lncRNA from 1 species